rnacentral:rRNA from 1 species
AUGAACCUGAAGAUCCAUGCUCAGCUUGCUAGGCUUCCGCAUACCAAUGUAAUAAGGUUACUGGGGUGGUGCAUACAUGGAGAAGAAAGGAUUCUAAUCUACAAGUUCAUGCACAAUGGUGCCUUGGACCAUCACAUAUUUGAUGUGUGGUUGGCAGCAGGAGACGAAGCAGUGGGAGCAUGGAGACGCCUGUGGGAGCACUGGGCUUUAUCUUUUCAACUGCAGAUGCCACAACAUGGGGAGGUGGGAUGCUGUACCACUGGAGAUACCAAGAGAGGAGCACAGCGUCCCUCUGAGCAUCCGGCCAUUUGCCUGUGCCCAAGUAACGGACAAAGUUGGCCUUGA